UGCACGGCGUGAUGCAAACGUUACAAGCUAAAGCUGCAUAUUAUUCAAAGCUCAAUGGAUUUUCACCUCA